rnacentral:rRNA from 1 species
AUUGAACGCUGGCGGAAUGCUUUACACAUGCAAGUCGAACGGCAGCACGGACUUCGGUCUGGUGGCGAGUGGCGAACGGGUGAGUAAUACAUCGGAACGUGCCCAGUCGUGGGGGAUAACGUAGCGAAAGCUACGCUAAUACCGCAUACGAUCUAAGGAUGAAAGCGGGGGAUCGCAAGACCACGAGCGAUUGGAGCGGCCGAUGGCAGAUUAGGUAGUUGGUGGGGUAAAGGCUAACCAAGCCGACGAUCUGUAGCUGGUCUGAGAGGACGACCAGCCACACUGGGACUGAGACACGGCCCAGACUCCUACGGGAGGCAGCAGUGGGGAAUUUUGGACAAUGGGCGCAAGCCUGAUCCAGCCAUUCCGCGUGCAGGAUGAAGGCCCUCGGGUUGUAAACUGCUUUUGUACGGAACGAAAAGGCUCUGGUUAAUACCCGGGGCUCAUGACGGUACCGUAAGAAUAAGCACCGGCUAACUACGUGCCAGCCGCCGCAGUAA